GUGCUGACUUCGGCAGCAGGUAUACUCAAAUUAGAACGGCACAGAGGAGGUUAGCAUGGCCCCCUGUGCAAGGAAGAUCCGCAGAUCCAUGCAGCAUUCCAUAUUUUU
rnacentral:snRNA from 10 species